UGACCUGGUCGAGCGGCCGCUGGUGCUUUUGGCACGAGAGGAAAGUCCGAGCCCCGCAGAGCAGGAUAACGGCUAACGGCCGCCGGGGGUGACCCCAGGGAAAGUGCAACAGAAAUAAACCGCCCAUUUCAUGGGUAAGGAUGGAACGGCGAGGUAAGAGCUCACCAGCAUGGUGGAGACAUCAUGGCUAUGUAAACCCUAUCCGGAGCAACACCGACUUGCGAGGCCUGCUCGGCCUGUGACGCAGAAGGGUGGCUGGAGCCGGUCAGCAAUGGCCGGCCUAGAUAGAUGGUCGCUUUAGAUGACAGAACUCGGCUUACACGCCAGGUCACACU
rnacentral:RNase_P_RNA from 1 species